rnacentral:tRNA from 1 species
AGACCUAUAGUGUAACGGUAACACUCCGGUUUUUGGUACCGUCAUUCGGGGUUCGAAUCCCUGUGGGUCUACGA